ACGCCGAAGGUAGCGCUCACAUCCGCGCCUUCCGGGCCUGGCGCCCACGUGCGGAGUCCCCGGGUUAGGAAAGGCCGCGCAUCCGGAGGCCACGCAGAGCCUCGGGGCUUGCGCAGAGGGGCUGCGGUGAGUCCUGACCCUGAGUGGGGGUCACGGGGCUCGUUGCUCGCUGAAGUGAACACGGUUGCAGCUGUGCACAGUGGCGGAGGGAGAGGAUGAGGGACUCUGACCCAAGGUUAUGUGGCAGUGAGGGGCAAGCAGAAAUGGGGGCCUCCGGACCCCACCCCGAGACAGGGCUGCUGGCCGCUGCACUAUGCUGAAUAUAGCCCAAAUUCUUACAUGGGUCGUCCCCGGGGAAUGCUCAUUUUUCAGGCUCCAGAGCUUGAGAGAAAGUGCGAACCCGGUCCCUGAGCAGGUCUGAUUCCCAUGGCCCCUUCGCCAUCUGCUCUGCACCGAAAUUGGAUUCUCCUACGCAGAGGAGAAGGUGGAGAAGAUUCUCCGUCUUCCGGAGGGUAGCUACUGCCGGUAGCUCCGAUUUCCUUCGGAUCCCCUUUCAAGGGCAAGCAGAAGGAAAUCAGUUUCUCCAAAGAAAGUGGCCCGGCUGAGUAAGUGGGAACAAGGUGGUUGGACUGAGGCACGGGAUCCUUUAGCUCCGUUGCUCUUCUAAUCCCGUGGCCCUGGGCACCGCCACUUCCUCCUCUGAACUGCUGGAAUAAUCACUUCUGACUAGCAGAGUUACUGGGAGCCGCUGUUUGUCAGUGUUCACAUUCUGACUUUAGCAGGAGAUGGAGCGAGCGAAGGAGUGAAGCCCUUGUUUGUGAACAGUGAUUGUUUCCCGGAUGACAGCCAGAUGCCGGGCAGGGCCACGCAGAUCUUAGCUGGAGCCUACAGGUACAAGUGAGAGCCACCCCCUUUGACGUAACUGGACUGGCAUUUACAGAACUCAUGUACAGCCCACUCUCAGGAACACCAGCCAGGAACCGUGACAUGGAGGAGAGGAAUUGGGAGGAACCGAGGGGUCAUCAAAGGCUGGUUGGGUUUCAGCCGAGCAAGUCUGAGGCCCCUUUCCCGCGCCCUCUGGUGGAAAGUGUUCGCUUUUCUGUCCACCCAUGUGAAGGAUUCACCCCGACCCUCCUCAGGUGGCCUUUACUUUGCAGGAGCAAAGCAAGUUGGAUGAGGAGAUACAUGUAUGUGGCACACAGCUUUCUUCACUUAGCAACACGUCAGAUGCAGCGUAGAUGUGCGGAUGAAACCACCAUUGCAAAAUUAUCACUGAGACAGUCAGAGAAACCUGACAUGGCUGACUCCAUGUUGCUUUUAGCCUCACAGGCUGGCUCUCUUAGCUCAUUCCUAAGCAUGGGCCUGAAACUGCCAUUGCAAAAUCGUAACUGAGACAGCAAAAGAGACUUGACCUAACCAACUCCAUCUUGCUUCUAACCUCCAAGCUGUCCUUGUUCAUUCCUGGGUGUAGGCUGAACUAACUUUGGGAGGAACUUAAUUUAUAGUUUAAAACAAAGACGAUAAGACGAUAACAGCCCUUUCUCAAAACAAACAUCCUUCCUGACUGGGGACUAGACUGCCUUUGUAGGAUUAACAAAUUAGCCACAAGAUCAGAAAUUAUAGUUUAGGAGUCAUGCAGCUGGAGGCUCUAAGAUUGUGACCCUCCCUAAACCGCUCAGUGCUUGAGAUGUUUUACAGACCCUGCACUUAAUGGAUCAGCUGGCACCACCCAGAUGGAUAAACUGGCUCAUGUGAUCUUGUGGCCCCCACCCAGGAACUGACUCAGUGCAAGAAGACAACUUCAAUUCCCUAUGAUUUAAUGUCCUACCGAAUCAAUCAGCACUCCUGACACACUGGCUUCCCCUCACCCACCAAAUUGUCCUUAAAACCUCUGAUCUCCAAAUGCUUGAGGAGACUGAUUUGAGUAAUAAUAAAACAAGGCUCCUGCACAGCCGGCUCUGCGCGAAUUACUCUUUCUCUACUGCAGUUCUCCUGUCAUGAUAAAUCGGCUCCAUCUAGGCAGCCAGCAAGGUGAACCCACUGGGUGGUUACAGGCCACGCUAAGUUCGGGAGAAAUUUAGUUUAUGGUUUAAAUGAUAACAGCCCUUCCCCAAAACUAAACUGCCCUGGUAAAACUAAUGAAAGGCCGCCAAGUUAGGAGGAUGACAGGGGCCUGAAUUCUACUGAGCCGUAAGCGUAAUUACCGGCCAUUAUUCCAGAGGACACAAGAUUUGCAACUUGCCUAAUUACUCCUGCAAAGAACAUCGCUACUGUAGCACCUGAGAAUGGCCUUUUGAGAUGUGUUUUCAGGCUUUUGCACUUCUGACAACUGAUGGCUGCACUUGGACUCGCCAGCCGGUCCCGCGUCCCCACCAGAAGCAGAGUAAGCACAAGAGGACAGCUCCGACUCCCUAGGAUUUCAGCUCUGACCAGUCGCACGCCUGGCUCACUGGCUUCCCCACACCCACCAAGUUGUUCUUAAAAACUCUGCUGCCCGAAUGCUCAGGGAGAGUGAUUUGAGUAAUAAUGAAACUGUUGUCUCCUGCACAGUCGGCUCUGCGUGAAUUACUCUUUCUCUAUUGCAAUUCCGCUCUCUUGAGAAAUCGGCUCUGUCCAGGCAGCAGCAAGGUGAAGCCACUGGGCGGUUACACUGAUAUGAUUCCCCCUUUGCAGUUUUUACUCUCUUGGUGCUGCAAACAGUUCCUCACUGAGGACCCUUGUACACGUAUCACUGUGAGCAUGAAUCCGAAUUUCUUUAGGAGACAUACAUACUAGUGGGUAUGUGCAUGUUAUGUAAUUUCUCUUAGCACUGUUUCCUCACUCAUCAAAUAAGGAUCAAGUAGUUCUCACCACACAGGGUUAUUUUAGAAAUAAUUUAGUAUACAUAAUAUACAAUGCAAUAACAAGUACUGAUGUCUACUUCUUUUAGGUUAUAUGAUAAUAC
rnacentral:lncRNA from 10 species